UGAGCCAACCAGCGAAACCGUCAGAGUUUCUUUGCUCUUCGGAGCUGCUUUACCUGUACAGGUGUGUAUACUUUUAUAUCACUUGUACGCGAUGUCUGAUGUGUACAACUGUACUGAUGUGUCCGUACUCGACACUCUGCUCGAACUCCAGUCGCGGUGGUGGCUCGCGGUCGUACUCCUCGGCGUCGGGUACACUCGGGCUGGUCUCUCCACCACCACGACGACCAUCACCGAUACUGCGACACGACUACGCUCCUCGCAGGUCGACGAUUAGCUACGACUUCUCUUCUUGCUGUGCUCUUCUCUCUUCUCUCUUGCCAGGUACGGCGAGCAGGUACCGGACCGCAACAGGUUCAGGACGUCCGGCGGAUUUUUACGGUCGUCGCCGAAAUUUAUUGUUUUUUAGUACUUUCACAUUUUUUGCGUCUUUGCUAUGCAAUGGAAUUUGUAAAGUCAUUUUUAGAUUUAUUUGGGGGCGUACUAUCGCAACUGAUAAGUUGUUGUUAGUUUAUUGUUAAUUGUGUGGUAAAUAAAAUAAGAAAAUAUUUUGUUUCAGCCUCGAUUCCCGCGGGAAAUAUUUAAAUUUGGGAAAUCGAGUUAUUUUAAAUUUUGAAUUUUAGAAAUUGUUUAUUGGGGGAAUUGAUAGCGAAUAGUUGUAGUUUUUGACUUACCUAGAAGUUCGCAGCAUUAGUAUUUUAUUUGGAAACCAACUAUUGCUGUAUUUAGAAGAUUGGAAGAGCGAAAAAUAUUAAAGUUGACUGUAUUUAAAAAAAGUUAUAAAGAGUUACAUUUAAGAUUUUUUAUAGGAGUUUUGAAGACCUUAAAAUCUUAUAUGAGAGAUAUUUUUUUUAAGAAAGAUGUGUUAGUUUUUUGAAGGAAUAUUACAUUUUUUUGUUUGAAGACAUUAAAUUUUCUCGGAAUAAGUACUAUUUUUUAAACGCAAAAAUUUUUUUAUGCUCCAACCAAAAAAAAAAUGCUUAAACUAAGAGAAACAUAACUUGGGAGUAAAGUUAUAUAUGUAUAUAUGUUGGAGAAGGAAGUCGCCGGUGCUAUAAGCAGCAGCGAAAGUAGUUCGAUGCUUGCCACGAGAUCGCGCCCACCAGUUGUAGUGUCCCUGGUAAGAAACUUAUUUUAGAGUUAUUAUAUUGCGAGCUUGAAGCAAUUAUGGGACGAGUUUUCUGUUGAAAAUUUUCGUUAGUAAUAUAGGGGUAUCCUGUAUUACAUUAUAACAAUAAUAUUUAAUAUGAAUAUUUACCUGAAUAAUUUUUGUGAUUGUACGAAAAAAAGUACAAGUCAAAGAAUGAAAUUAUUUUUCUAAAUAUGCAUUUAUUCAAUCUAAAUAUCGUUACUAAAUAUUUUAUAGUUUCUAAUAACUCAAUAAAUGAAUUAAUGAUUCAGUUUUCUUUUUCUUUUCCUGUUUCUCUUCAACUCAAUAAAUGAAUUAAUAAUUAAUGUUUUCUGUUUCUUUUCCUGUUUCUCUUCAACUCGACACCAUGCUCUGUCAAGAGGUGAUCCCCAACUUUCCGAGGAUCGGUGAAGCAAAAGUCGCAACCGUCGCACGGUGAUAUGUUUUUCGAUGACCAGCUGGUACCGGACUAGAAUCAUCACUUCGGCCUCCUGGAGAGCUGACAAGAUUAAUGCGCUGACUAGGUGGUUCGGUCGAAGGGAACUGAUUAACAACACAUCUAUGUGUUGAAAUCUGCUGUUUCAGCUGGUCCCGUUCAGCACGUAAGAGUUUAAUCUCAUCGUUAGCCGCCGCAAGUUCAGCACAUGUGAGUUUAUUUUCAUCUCUAGCCGCCGCAAGUUCAGCUCUUAAUUCUGCUACAAGAGCUGACUCGUUAGAGCCACUCGCAGAAGUCACGGCGACUCCAGGCACGGGCAGAAACUUCUGUUGUUUCCUAAAACCCCACAAAAAUUCCACU